UCUUGGUCAUUUAGAGGAAGUAAAAGUCGUAACAAGGUUUCCGUAGGUGAACCUGCGGAAGGAUCAUUACUGAAUGAACCGGGAGGGGUUGUCGCUGGCCUUGGAAACAGGGCAUGUGCACGCCUCACUCGUCYAACCUUCACACCUCUGUGCACUUCUCAUGGAUCRGAAUUUGARCCUUCGGGUGAAGAAUUCUGGUCUGUGUGUUACUACAUACACUUGUUUGUCAUAGAAUGUUUACUGUGCAUGAAUGCAUACAAUACAACUUUCAGCAACGGAUCUCUUGGCUCUCGCAUCGAUGAAGAACGCAGCGAAAUGCGAUAAGUAAUGUGAAUUGCAGAAUUCAGUGAAUCAUCGAAUCUUUGAACGCACCUUGCGCUCCUUGGUAUUCCGAGGAGCAUGCCUGUUUGAGUGUCAUGGUAUUCUCAACUCUUGUUGUUUUUGUGCAACCAGUGUUGGACUUGGAGGUUUGCAGGCGUACGUCUGCUCCUCUGAAAURCAUUAGCUUGGACUGUUGUCGAGUGUAAUCCGGUGUGAUAAUUGUCUACGCCGCGUUGCCUCUUCAAAACUUAAGGUUCUGGCUYCYAAUCGUCUCUUUGURGACAAUUUUGAAACAUCUGACCUCAAAUCAGGUAGGACUACCCGCUGAACUUAAGCAUAUCAAUAAGCGGAGGAAAAGAAACUAACAAGGAUUCCCCUAGUAACUGCGAGUGAAGCGGGAAAAGCUCAAAUUUAAAAUCUGGCAGCUUUGGCUGUCCGAGUUGUAGUCUGGAGAAGCGUUUUCUGUGCCGGACCGUGUACAAGUCUCUUGGAACAGAGCGUCAUAGAGGGUGAGAAUCCCGUCUUUGACACGGACUGCCGGUGCUUUGUGAUGCGCUCUCAAAGAGUCGAGUUGUUUGGGAAUGCAGCUCAAAAUGGGUGGUAAAUUCCAUCUAAAGCUAAAUAUUGGCGAGAGACCGAUAGCGAACAAGUACCGUGAGGGAAAGAUGAAAAGCACUUUGGAAAGAGAGUUAAACAGUACGUGAAAUUGCUGAAAGGGAAACGCUUGAAGUCAGUCGCGUCUGCCGGAACUCAGCCUGGCUUCUGCCUGGUGUAUUUUCUGGUUGACGGGCCAGCAUCAGUUUUGACCGACGGAAAAAGACCUUGGGAAUGUGGCACCUUCGGGUGUGUUAUAGCCUUUGGUUGCAUACGUCGGUUGGGACUGAGGAUCUCAGCACGCCUUUAUGGUCGGGGUUCGCCCACGUCCGUGCUUAGGAUGCUGGCGUAAUGGCUUUAAACGACCCGUCUUGAAACACGGACCAAGGAGUCUAACAUGCCUGCGAGUGUUUGGGUGGAAAACCCGAGCGCGCAAUGAAAGUGAAAGUUGGGAUCCCUGUCGCGGGGAGCACCGACGCCCAGACCAGACCUUCUGUGACGGAUCUGCGGUAGAGCAUGUAUGUUGGGACCCGAAAGAUGGUGAACUAUGCCUGAAUAGGGUGAAGCCAGAGGAAACUCUGGUGGAGGCUCGUAGCGAUUCUGACGUGCAAAUCGAUCGUCAAAUUUGGGUAUAGGGGCGAAAGACUAAUCGAACCAUCUAGUAGCUGGU
rnacentral:rRNA from 1 species